ACGGCUCAGUAACACGUGGAUAACCUGCCCUAUGCUCUGGGAUAACCUUGGGAAACUGAGAAUAAUACCGGAUAGAUCACAACGCCUGGAACGGUGUGUGGUUGAAAGGUUACGGCAUAGGAUGGGUCUGCGGCGUAUCAGGUCGUAGGGGGUGUAAUGGACCUCCUAGCCAUCGACGCGUACGGGUUGUGAGAGCAAUAGCCCGGAGAUGGAUUCUGAGACACGAAUCCAGACCCCACGGGGUGCAGCAGGCGCGAAAACUUCACACUGCAGGAAACUGCGAUGAGGGAACUCCAAGUGACUACACAUUUGUGUAGCUCUUUUCUUAACUAUUAAUCGGUUUUGGAAUAAGGGCUGGGAAAGACCGGUGCCAGCCGCCGCGGUAAUACCGGCAGCUCGAGUGGUCGUCGCUUUUAUUGGGCCUAAAACGUCCGUAGCCGGUUUGGUAAAUCUGUGGGUAAAUCAACUAGCUUAACUAGUUGAAUUCUGCAGAGACUGCCAGACUAGGAACCGGGAGAGGUGUGGGGUACUCAAGGGGUAGGGGUAAAAUCCUGUCAUCCUUUGAGGACCACCAGUUGCGAAGGCGCCACACUAGAACGGAUUCGACGGUCAGGGACGAAGCCUAGGGGCACGAACCGGAUUAGAUACCCGGGUAGUCCUAGGUGUAAACGCUGUGAACUUGGUGUCGGGAGUCCGCAAUGGGCCCCCGGUGCCGGAGUGAAGAUGUUAAGUUCACUGCCUGGGGAGUACGGUCGCAAGGCUGAAACUUAAAGGAAUUGGCGGGGGAGCAC
rnacentral:rRNA from 1 species